AACGCACCUUGCGCUCCUUGGUAUUCCGAGGAGCAUGCCUGUUUGAGUGUCAUGGUAUUCUCAACCCUCCAAAUCUUUGCGGAAAUGGAUGGGCUUGGAUGUGGAGGUUUAUGCUGGCUUCUAUAUGAGGUCGGCUCCUCUGAAAUGCAUUAGCACGAAUCUUACUUAAUGUGCCUCAGUGUGAUAAUUGUCUACGCUGUGGUCAUGAUGUAUAAUAUAUUUGCGCUUCUAACUGUCCUGUUGUGGGACAAUUUCUUUGACAUCUGACCUCAAAUCAGGUAGGACUACCCGCUGAACUUAA
rnacentral:ncRNA from 2 species